UACGUAGGGUGCAAGCGUUAAUCGGAAUUACUGGGCGUAAAGCGUGCGCAGGCGGUUAUGUAAGACAGUUGUGAAAUCCCCGGGCUCAACCUGGGAAUUGCAUCUGUGACUGCAUAGCUAGAGUACGGUAGAGGGGGAUGGAAUUCCGCGUGUAGCAGUGAAAUGCGUAGAUAUGCGGAGGAACACCGAUGGCGAAGGCAAUCCCCUGGACCUGUACUGACGCUCAUGCACGAAAAGCGUGGGGAGCAAACAGG
rnacentral:rRNA from 1 species